rnacentral:rRNA from 1 species
AUGAACGCUGGCGGCGUGCCUAAUACAUGCAAGUCGCGCGAACAGAUAAGGAGCUUGCUCCUUUGACGUUAGCGGCGGACGGGUGAGUAACACGUGGGUAACCUACCUAUAAGACUGGAAUAACUCCGGGAAACCGGGGCUAAUGCCGGAUAACAUUUAGAACCGCAUGGUUCUAAAGUGAAAGAUGGUUUUGCUAUCACUUAUAGAUGGACCCGCGCCGUAUUAGCUAGUUGGUAAGGUAACGGCUUACCAAGGCAACGAUACGUAGCCGACCUGAGAGGGUGAUCGGCCACACUGGAACUGAGACACGGUCCAGACUCCUACGGGAGGCAGCAGUAGGGAAUCUUCCGCAAUGGGCGAAAGCCUGACGGAGCAACGCCGCGUGAGUGAUGAAGGUCUUCGGAUCGUAAAACUCUGUUAUUAGGGAAGAACAAAUGUGUAAGUAACUGUGCACGUCUUGACGGUACCUAAUCAGAAAGCCACGGCUAACUACGUG